rfam:Triticum aestivum genome assembly, contig: Triticum_aestivum_CS42_TGACv1_scaffold_158440_2DL
UAGCUACUCCCUCCGUUCGGAAUUACUUGCAGAAAUGGAUGUAUCUAGACGUAUUUUAGUUCCAGAUACAUCCAUUUUCGAGACAAGUAAUUUCGAUCGGAGGGAGUAGUAC